rnacentral:rRNA from 1 species
AGGUGCGAUCAUACCAGCACUAAUGCACUGGAUCCCAUCAGAACUCCGCAGUUAAGCGCGCUUGGGCGAGAGUAGUAACCUCCUGGGAAGUCCUCGUGUUGCACUUC